GGUAUUUCAAUAUAAAGGUAUAUAACCCAUUCGAGUAUUUCUACACUUCGAGUCGGGUUCGGGUAUUUUAUGUUCGGGUUCAGAUAUUUAAAUUUUGAAGAAAAAUAAAUUAAUUAUUCAUUGUUUAAGUUGUUUCUUGUAUUUAAAAAAUAUUUUAACUUAAUUGGUUUCUAAUUUCUAAAAGAUUAAACUAUUCAUAGGUCUGGAGAUAAAAAUUUAAAAAUAUAAAGACACUAGUUUAGUUGUUGUUUUGAAAUUUUCGAUGUUGCCUAUUUGGUUUUGGUGAUUUGUGUCAGCCGCGAAACUUAAUUUCUUUUUGUGCAUAUGAAGUCUUAAAAAUAAUAAUGAGAUGUAAUAUGUUAACUUUUCAACAACGAUGAUAUAUUUAAGAGACCAACAUUUGUAUUCGUCAUUUAUAAUCGAUAGAUAUUGUAGUGUUGCAAAAUGUUAAAACCAUUUAAUAAACAAACAUUAUUAUAAAAACU
rnacentral:lncRNA from 1 species